AUGACCUCCAGGCUCUCAGAUACCAAGAUUGUACAAGACCUAACCCAGAGAAUUACUCAAGACACUUUCUACACAAGAAGAAUUGUGGUCCUAGCUCUCCUCAUAGAAAAAUGUUUUCUGUCUCUUGUUGAAAUUGACAGCAAACACAACAACACAGAACUAUUUGGGAGAACAGAGGACAGUGAUACACUAGGGAAGUGCAGGAGUCAGCCCCAGUCAGGACACAGCACGGAUGUGAGGGCCCCCACUCAGCUCCUGGGGCUCCUGGUGCUCUGGCUGACAGGUGCCAGAUGUGACAUCCAGAUGACCCAGUCUCCAUCCUCCCUGUCUGCAUCUGUAGGAGACAGAGUCACCAUCACUUGCCAGGCGAGUCAGGGCAUUAGCAAUAAUUUAAAUUGGUAUCAGCAGAAACCAGGGAAAACUCCUAAGCUCCUGAUCUAUGCUGCAUCCAGUCUGCAAAGUGGGAUUCCCUCUCGGUUCAGUGACAGUGGAUCUGGGACAGAUUACACUCUCACCAUCAGCAGCCUGCAGCCUGAAGAUUUUGCAACUUAUUACUGUCAACAGAGAUUCACAGAUCCAGGAUUCACAGAUCCAGGAUUCAAGGGGGUGGAUGUGAAAGUGGAACCACUCACUAUGAUGCACUAG